UACAGAGGGUGCGAGCGUUUGUUCGGAAUUAUUGGGCGUAAAGGGCGCGUAGGCGGCGCGGUAUGUCACCUGUGAAAUCUCCUGGCUCAACUGGGAGCUUGCAGGCGAAACUGCCGUGCUGGAGUGUGGGAGAGGUGCGUGGAAUUCCUGGUGUAGCGGUGAAAUGCGUAGAUAUCAGGAGGAACACCUGUGGCGAAAGCGGCGCACUGGACCACAACUGACGCUGAGGCGCGAAAGCUAGGGGAGCAAACAGG
rnacentral:rRNA from 1 species